rnacentral:tRNA from 1 species
AGUUUCAUAGUGCAGUGGUUAAUAUGUCUGCUUUACAUUCAGAAGGUCCUGGGUUCACGCCCCAGUGGAGCCA